rfam:Candidatus Micrarchaeota archaeon CG1_02_55_41 cg1_0.2_scaffold_10394_c, whole genome shotgun sequence.
GGGGGGUUGGGGUAGCCUGGCAUCCUGCCGGCUUUGGGAGCCGGUGACCCGAGUUCGAAUCUCGGACCCCCCA